rnacentral:rRNA from 1 species
GCUAUUGGAGUUCGAUUAAGCCAUGCGAGUCGAGAGUCCUCGGGACUCGGCGUACCGCUCAGUAACACGUGGGUAACCUGCCCUAUGCUGGGGAAUAACCUCGGGAAACUGAGAAUAAUGCCCCAUAGCCCACUACGCCUGGAACGGUGAGUGGGUCAAAGCCCCGGCGGCAUAGGAUGGGCCUGCGCCGUAUCAGGUUGUAGGGGGUGUAAAGUACCCUCUAGCCAUCAACGCGUACGGGUGUUGGGAGACAUUGCCCGGAGAUGGAUUCUGAGACACGAAUCCAGACCCUACGGGGUGCAGCAGGCGCGAAAACUUGGCAAUGCGAGCAAUCGUGACCAGGGAACUCCAAGUGCGUAGGGUAAGACCUACGCUUUUCUUGACUCUUCAAAGGUCUUGGAAUAAGGGGUGGGUAAGGACGGUGCCAGCCGCCGCGGUAAUACCGGCGCCUCAAGUGGUAGUCGCUUUUAUUGGGCCUAAAACGUCCGUAGCCGGUCUGGUGCAUUCGUGGGUAAAUCAACCCGCUCAACGGGUUGAAUUCUGCGAGCACGGCCAGACUUGGGACCGGGAGAGGUGUGGGGUACUCUCAGGGUAGGGGUAAAAUCCUGUCAUCCUGAGAGGACCACCUGUUGCGAAGGCGCCACACUAGAACGGAUCCGACGGUCAGGGACGAAACCUAGGGGCACGAACCGGAUUAGAUACCCGGGUAGUCCUAGGUGUAAACGCUGUGGACUUGAUGUUGGGGGCGCUCCGAGCGCUCUCAGUGUCGAAGCGAAGGUGAUAAGUCCACUGCCUGGGGAGUACGGUCGCAAGGCUGAAACUUAAAGGAAUUGGCGGGGGAGCACUGC